AGUACCUACUAAUUCCAAAGAGAUCCCAUAGUUAAAUCACAGAUAUAUGAACAUCACAUUGAUGUUCAUAUAUCUGUGAGUUAAAUCCACUGACCUCUAUACAUAUAUACAAGGUUAAAUCACAGAUUAUAAGAAUAUUACUUCAAUAUAAUGUUCUUGUAUACAUAUACAAUAAUAACCUAUCAUGUUCUUAUAUCUGUGGAUAAAUUGAAAUUUAAGCAACUCUUUGCAGGAAGGGAGUCCUAUAACAAGGAGUAACUAACCCUAAGUUUAGAGUGGUGAUCAGUGACAUCGGUCCUGGUGCAGGAGUAGAGGAUAACGGGCUUGUCCCUGCCCUGGAACUGGUCCACAGUGCUGGCGGGCGCCGACAGCCGCGCCCGCGCCCGCGCCAGCGCCCUCCGCAGCCGCGCCGCUUGCUCGCGGUACGGAGCUAUGACGCCUAUGUCUGAGCUGCUCACGCCACCCUGUACAGAUAUGAAAUCAGGUCUCACUGGUGCAUCACUAACCUGUAUCAACGCUUCGGCUAAAGCCAGCACCACACAAGCCUCGGUAUCAUUGGUACACUUCUUACUGCUCUCUGUGGCUGUCACAUCGAGGAACACUAC